UGGGGAAUAUUGGACAAUGGGCGCAAGCCUGAUCCAGCCAUGCCGCGUGAGUGAUGAAGGCCCUAGGGUUGUAAAGCUCUUUCACCGGUGAAGAUAAUGACGGUAACCGGAGAAGAAGCCCCGGCUAACUUCGUGCCAGCAGCCGCGGUAAUACGAAGGGGGCUAGCGUUGUUCGGAUUUACUGGGCGUAAAGUGCACGUAGGCGGACUUUUAAGUCAGGGGUGAAAUCCCGGGGCUCAACCCCGGAACUGCCUUUGAUACUGGAAGUCUUGAGUAUGGUAGAGGUGAGUGGAAUUCCGAGUGUAGAAGUGAAAUUCGUAGAUAUUCGGAGGAACACCAGUGGCGAAGGCGGCUCACUGGACCAUUACUGACGCUGAGGUGCGAAAGCGUGGGGAGCAAACAGG
rnacentral:rRNA from 1 species